rnacentral:rRNA from 1 species
UCUUGAUGCGCGGCUUACCAUGCAGUCGAGCGGUAACAGGGGGUGCUUGCACCCCGCUGACGAGCGGCGGACGGGUGAGUAAUGCAUAGGAAUCUGCCCAGUAGUGGGGGAUAGCCCGGGGAAACCCGGAUUAAUACCGCAUACGCCCUUUGGGGGAAAGCAGGGGAUCUUCGGACCUUGCGCUAUUGGAUGAGCCUAUGUCGGAUUAGCUAGUUGGUGGGGUAAAGGCCUACCAAGGCGACGAUCCGUAGCUGGUCUGAGAGGAUGAUCAGCCACAUCGGGACUGAGACACGGCCCGAACUCCUACGGGAGGCAGCAGUGGGGAAUAUUGGACAAUGGGGGCAACCCUGAUCCAGCCAUGCCGCGUGUGUGAAGAAGGCUUUCGGGUUGUAAAGCACUUUCAGUGAGGAGGAAAACCUUCUGGUUAAUACCCAUGAGGCUUGACGUUACUCACAGAAGAAGCACCGGCUAACUCCGUGCCAGCAGCCGCGGUAAUACGGAGGGUGCAAGCGUUAAUCGGAAUUACUGGGCGUAAAGCGCGCGUAGGUGGUUUGAUAAGCGAGAUGUGAAAGCCCCGGGCUUAACCUGGGAACGGCAUUUCGAACUGUCA